GGAUUAGAUACCCUGGUAGUCCAUGCCGUAAACGUUGGGCACUAGGUGUGGGGUCUUCUAACGGAUUCCGUGCCGUAGCUAACGCAUUAAGUGCCCCGCCUGGGGAGUACGGCCGCAAGGCUAAAACUCAAAGGAAUUGACGGGGGCCCGCACAAGCGGCGGAGCAUGUUGCUUAAUUCGAGGCAACGCGAAGAACCUUACCUGGGUUUGACAUGUACCGAAAAGCCAUAGAGAUAUAGUGUGCAUUAGCGCCCUAUACAGGUGGUGCAUGGCUGUCGUCAGCUCGUGCCG
rnacentral:rRNA from 1 species